rnacentral:lncRNA from 1 species
CUGGGAUGACAGGCAUUCACCACCACACCUUGCGUGUAACUCUGGCUCUUGACUUCCAGGGUCUUUGAGCAGGGCCUUUCCUAUGGACCACAGCGGAUGGAGGACAGUGGCCCCGUGACCACCACUUGUGUUUCCAGCACGGGCUGCUGUGUUGACAGUUUCUUAUUCCUCUCAGCAGCUGUCAGUGACAUUGCUGAUCCCCGAGGGACAGGUGAGGAUGCAGGACUCCGGGUGGCUGAGCGAGACUUCCAAGCUGACAUUUACCCAGCGCUGACUGGCUGCGAGGCUGUCCCAGUGCCCUCCCACGACACCUCCUAGCUGGCGUCACCCUUGUUGGGGCAGCGCCCCUCGGGUUCCCCGACAGUCUACAGAAGCAAGAGUGCUCCGUACGGCAGCACCCCACAGACCCCCCAGGGCCCUGGAAGACACCAGAGACCGCGAAUGAAACAGCACUGGGGUUCCUUCUCCAGCAAGCGCAGCCACCGUCAGGGACAUACGGAGGCAAACGCCGCCAGGUGCAGGGAAAGCGGGCCUGUGCCACGUUGCCGGUGAGACUGGAGAUGCGGACGCUAGUGUGGACGAUCCACGCACACCCGUGUUUACAGCAGCACAAUUACUCACAACCGCUAGAUCUUGGAAGCAGCCUACGUGUCCAUCAACAGACGACGGUGUACAGAACGUGCGGUGUUAACACGCUGUGGAGUACUACUCUGCCACAAAGAAGGAUGAACUUGCGGCACUGGUAGGGAAAUGGGUGGAUGCACCUUGAGGCCAUAACGUGAAGGGAAAUAAACCAGACGCACAGGUUUAAGAAGCACGUGUUUUCUCUUGGAUGGGAAACCCAGAGCGUGAGGAAACUGAACUGCGAAAGAAAAGCUAGUAGGAAGCGGGGAGAUAGAUCUUCCCUACAUGGGAAGGAGCCCAAGCGACGGGGGAGGGGAGCAGGAAGGGAGGGAGAGAACAAAAGGACAGACGCCUUCCGCAUGC